rnacentral:rRNA from 1 species
UACGAAAGGUGCAAGCGUUACUCGGAAUCACUGGGCGUAAAGCGCACGUAGGCGGACUCGUAGGUCAAUUGUGAAAUACCUGGGCUCAACCCAGGAACUGCAGUUGAAACCACUUGUCUUGAAUACCUGAGAGGGUGGGGGAAUACCUGGUGGAGAAGUGAAAUUCGUAGAGAUCAGGUGGAACACCGGAGGCGAAGGCGCCUGCCUGGCAGUGUAUUGACGGCUGAGGUGCGAAAGUGCGGGGAGCAAACAGG